rnacentral:rRNA from 1 species
CGGGACACGUGGUAUCCUGUCUGAAUAUGGGGGGACCAUCCUCCAAGGCUAAAUACUCCUGACUGACCGAUAGUGAACCAGUACCGUGAGGGAAAGGCGAAAAGAACCCCGGCGAGGGGAGUGAAAAAGAACCUGAAACCGUGUACGUACAAGCAGUGGGAGCCUCUUAAUGGGGUGACUGCGUACCUUUUGUAUAAUGGGUCAGCGACUUAUAUUCUGUAGCAAGGUUAACCGAAUAGGGGAGCCGAAGGGAAACCGAGUCUUAACUGGGCGUUAAGUUGCAGGGUAUAGACCCGAAACCCGGUGAUCUAGCCAUGGGCAGGUUGAAGGUUGGGUAACACUAACUGGAGGACCGAACCGACUAAUGUUGAAAAAUUAGCGGAUGACUUGUGGCUGGGGGUGAAAGGCCAAUCAAACCGGGAGAUAGCUGGUUCUCCCCGAAAGCUAUUUAGGUAGCGCCUCGUGAAUUCAUCUCCGGGGGUAGAGCACUGUUUCGGCAAGGGGGUCAUCCCGACUUACCAACCCGAUGCAAACUGCGAAUACCGGAGAAUGUUAUCACGGGAGACACACGGCGGGUGCUAACGUCCGUCGUGAAGAGGGAAACAACCCAGACCGCCAGCUAAGGUCCCAAAGUCAUGGUUAAGUGGGAAACGAUGUGGGAAGGCCCAGACAGCCAGGAUGUUGGCUUAGAAGCAGCCAUCAUUUAAAGAAAGCGUAAUAGCUCACUGGUCGAGUCGGCCUGCGCGGAAGAUGUAACGGGGCUAAACCAUGCACCGAAGCUGCGGCAGCGACACUAUGUGUUGUUGGGUAGGGGAGCGUUCUGUAAGCCUGUGAAGGUGUACUGUGAGGUAUGCUGGAGGUAUCAGAAGUGCGAAUGCUGACAUAAGUAACGAUAAAGCGGGUGAAAAGCCCGCUCGCCGGAAGACCAAGGGUUCCUGUCCAACGUUAAUCGGGGCAGGGUGAGUCGACCCCUAAGGCGAGGCCGAAAGGCGUAGUCGAUGGGAAACAGGUUAAUAUUCCUGUACUUGGUGUUACUGCGAAGGGGGGACGGAGAAGGCUAUGUUGGCCGGGCGACGGUUGUCCCGGUUUAAGCGUGUAGGCUGGUUUUCCAGGCAAAUCCGGAAAAUCAAGGCUGAGGCGUGAUGACGAGGCACUACGGUGCUGAAGCAACAAAUGCCCUGCUUCCAGGAAAAGCCUCUAAGCAUCAGGUAACAUCAAAUCGUACCCCAAACCGACACAGGUGGUCAGGUAGAGAAUACCAAGGCGCUUGAGAGAACUCGGGUGAAGGAACUAGGCAAAAUGGUGCCGUAACUUCGGGAGAAGGCACGC